AUUGGACGCUGGCGGCAUGCCUUACACAUGCAAGUCGAACGGCAGCGGACCUUCGGGUGCCGGCGAGUGGCGAACGGGUGAGUAAUAUAUCGGAACGUACCUUUCAGUGGGGGAUAACGUAGCGAAAGUUACGCUAAUACCGCAUAUUCUGUGAGCAGGAAAGCAGGGGAUCGCAAGACCUUGCGCUGAUUGAGCGGCCGAUAUCAGAUUAGCUAGUUGGUGAGGUAAAGGCUCACCAAGGCGACGAUCUGUAGCGGGUCUGAGAGGAUGAUCCGCCACACUGGAACUGAGACACGGUCCAGACUCCUACGGGAGGCAGCAGUGGGGAAUUUUGGACAAUGGGCGCAAGCCUGAUCCAGCCAUGCCGCGUGAGUGAAGAAGGCCU
rnacentral:rRNA from 1 species